GUCCUUUUGAAUUUAAUUUAAGGUCUGACCUGCCCAGUGAUAAUUUUAACGGCCGCGGUAUACUGACCGUGCAAAGGUAGCAUAAUCAUUAGUCUUUUAAUAGAGGGCUGGAAUGAAAGGUUUAACGAGGAAUUGACUGUCUCAUUUUAUUUGUUUUAAAAUUUAAUUUUUUAGUUAAAAAGCUAAAAUCUUAUUGGAAGACGAGAAGACCCUAUAGAGCUUUACAUAUAAUUAAAUAAAUAUUUUUAUAUUAAUAUCUUUAUUUAAUUUUGUGUUUUGUUGGGGUGACAAAAAUAUAUAAAUAACUUUUUUAUUUAAUUAACAUUGAUUUAUGAGUAUUAGAUCCAUUAUUAUUGAUUAUUAGACUAAGUUACCUUAGGGAUAACAGCGUAAUCCUCCUCCAGAGUUCAUAUUUACAGGAUGGGCUUGCGACCUCGAUGUUGGAUUAAGAUAAUAAUUAGGUGUAGCCGCUUAAUUGAUAGGUCUGUUCGACCUUUAAAUUCUU
rnacentral:rRNA from 1 species